UAAUACCGCAUAGUAUCUGUGGAUUAAAGGUGGCUUUCGAGCUGUCGCAGAUGGAUGAGCCUGUGUUGGAUUAGCUAGUUGGUGGGGUAAGGGCCUACCAAGGCUACGAUCCAUAGCUGAUUUGAGAGGAUGAUCAGCCACAUUGGGACUGAGACACGGCCCAAACUCCUACGGGAGGCAGCAGUGAGGAAUAUUGGACAAUGGGGGCAACCCUGAUCCAGCAAUGCCAUGUGUGUGAAGAAGGCCUUAGGGUUGUAAAGCACUUUAGUUGGGGAAGAAAGCUUUAAGGUUAAUAGCCUUGGGGAAGGACGUUACCCAAAGAAUAAGCACCGGCUAACUCCGUGCCAGCAGCCGCGGUAAUACGGGGGGUGCAAGCGUUAAUCGGAAUUACUGGGCGUAAAGGGUCUGUAGGUGGUUUGUUAAGUCAGAUGUGAAAGCCCAGGGCUCAACCUUGGAACUGCAUUUGAUACUGGCAAACUAGAGUACAGUAGAGGAAUGGGGAAUUUCUGGUGUAGCGGUGAAAUGCGUAGAGAUCAGAAGGAACACCAAUGGCGAAGGCAACAUUCUGGAUCGAUACUGACACUGAGGGACGAAAGCGUGGGGAUCAAACAGGAUUAGAUACCCUGGUAGUCCACGCUGUAAACGAUGAGUACUAGCUGUUGGAGUCGGUGUAAAGGCUCUAGUGGCGCAGUUAACGCGAUAAGUACUCCGCCUGGGGACUACGGGCCGCAAGGCUAAAACUCAAAGGAAUUGACGGGGACCCGCACAAGCGGUGGAGCAUGUGGUUUAAUUCGAUGCAACGCGAAGAACCUUACCUGGUCUUGACAUCCUGCGAGCUUUCUAGAGAUAGGUUGGUGCCUUCGGGAACGCAGUGACAGGUGCUGCACGGCUGUCGUCAGCUCGUGUUGUGAAAUGUUGGGUUAAGUCCCGCAACGAGCGCAACCCCUAUUGAUAGUUACCAUCAUUAAGUUGGGUACUCUAUUGAGACUGCCGCUGACAAGGCGGAGGAAGGUGGGGAUGACGUCAAGUCAUCAUGGCCCUUACGACCAGGGCUACACACGUGCUACAAUGGGUAUUACAGAGGGCUGCGAAAGAGCGAUCU
rnacentral:rRNA from 1 species